rnacentral:rRNA from 1 species
UACGUAGGUGGCAAGCGUUGUCCGGAAUUAUUGGGCGUAAAGCGCGCGCAGGCGGUUUCUUAAGUCUGAUGUGAAAGCCCCGGGCUCAACCGGGGAGGGUCAUUGGAAACUGGGAAACUUGAGUGCAGGAGAGAAGAGCGGAAUUCCACGUGUAGCGGUGAAAUGCGUAGAGAUGUGGAGGAACACCAGUGGCGAAGGCGGCUCUUUGGCCUGUAACUGACGCUGAGGCACGAAGGUCAGGGGAGCAAACGGG